UACGGAGGGGGCUAGCGUUGUCCGAAGUUACUGGGCGUAAGGCGCGCGUAGGCGGGUUGGUAAGUCCGCUGUGAAAGCCCGGAGCUCAACUCCGGAGGGUCGGUGGAUACUGCCAGUCUUGAAGGUGCUAGGGGGAGAUGGAAUUACCGGUGUAGCGGUGAAAUGCGUAGAUAUCGGUAGGAACACCAGUGGCGAAGGCGGUCUCCUGGGGCAUUCUUGACGCUGAGGCGCGAAAGCUGGGGGAGCGAACGGG
rnacentral:rRNA from 1 species